rnacentral:rRNA from 1 species
AUUGAACGCUGGCGGCAGGCCUAACACAUGCAAGUCGAGCGAGCGGCGGACGGGUGAGUAAUGUCUGGGAAACUGCCUGAUGGAGGGGGAUAACUACUGGAAACGGUAGCUAAUACCGCAUACGAUCAGAUGUGCCCAGAUGGGAGUAGAUAGUAGGUGGGUUAAUGGCUCACCUAGGGGAAGAUCCCUCUCUGGUCUGAGAGGAUGACCAGCCACACUGGAACGGAGACACGGUCCAGACUCCUACGGGAGGCAGCAGUGGGGAAUAUUGCACAAUGGGCGCAAGCCUGAUGCAGCCAUGCCGCGUGUAUGAAGAAGGCCUUCGGGUUGUAAAGUACUUUCAGCGAGGAGGCGUUACUCGCAGAAGAAGCACCGGCUAACUCCGUGCCAGCCGCCGCGGUAAUUC